UCUCCGUAGGUGAACCUGCGGAGGGAUCAUUACCGAGUGAGGGCCUCCGGGCUCGACCUCCAACCCUUUGUAUACCGACCCUGUUGCCUCGGGGGUGACCCGGCGCCUCGCUCUGAGGUGCCCCGGGGCCCCCGGUGGACCACUCAACGCUGCAUCUGUGCGUCCGAGUCAAUAUUGAAUCAAUCAAAACUUUCAACAACGGAUCUCUUGGUUCUGGCAUCGAUGAAGAACGCAGC
rnacentral:misc_RNA from 1 species